GGCGGGUGCUAUACAUGCAAGUCGAACGAACUCUGGUAUUGAUUGGUGCUUGCAUCAUGAUUUACAUUUGAGUGAGUGGCGAACUGGUGAGUAACACGUGGGAAACCUGCCCAGAAGCGGGGGAUAACACCUGGAAACAGAUGCUAAUACCGCAUAACAACUUGGACCGCAUGGUCCGAGCUUGAAAGAUGGCUUCGGCUAUCACUUUUGGAUGGUCCCGCGGCGUAUUAGCUAGAUGGUGGGGUAACGGCUCACCAUGGCAAUGAUACGUAGCCGACCUGAGAGGGUAAUCGGCCACAUUGGGACUGAGACACGGCCCAAACUCCUACGGGAGGCAGCAGUAGGGAAUCUUCCACAAUGGACGAAAGUCUGAUGGAGCAACGCCGCGUGAGUGAAGAAGGGUUUCGGCUCGUAAAACUCUGUUGUUAAAGAAGAACAUAUCUGAGAGUAACUGUUCAGGUAUUGACGGUAUUUAACCAGAAAGCCACGGCUAACUACGUGCCAGCAGCCGCGGUAAUACGUAGGUGGCAAGCGUUGUCCGGAUUUAUUGGGCGUAAAGCGAGCGCAGGCGGUUUUUUAAGUCUGAUGUGAAAGCCUUCGGCUCAACCGAAGAAGUGCAUCGGAAACUGGGAAACUUGAGUGCAGAAGAGGACAGUGGAACUCCAUGUGUAGCGGUGAAAUGCGUAGAUAUAUGGAAGAACACCAGUGGCGAAGGCGGCUGUCUGGUCUGUAACUGACGCUGAGGCUCGAAAGUAUGGGUAGCAAACAGGAUUAGAUACCCUGGUAGUCCAUACCGUAAACGAUGAAUGCUAAGUGUUGGAGGGUUUCCGCCCUUCAGUGCUGCAGCUAACGCAUUAAGCAUUCCGCCUGGGGAGUACGGCCGCAAGGCUGAAACUCAAAGGAAUUGACGGGGGCCCGCACAAGCGGUGGAGCAUGUGGUUUAAUUCGAAGCUACGCGAAGAACCUUACCAGGUCUUGACAUACUAUGCAAAUCUAAGAGAUUAGACGUUCCCUUCGGGGACAUGGAUACAGGUGGUGCAUGGUUGUCGUCAGCUCGUGUCGUGAGAUGUUGGGUUAAGUCCCGCAACGAGCGCAACCCUUAUUAUCAGUUGCCAGCAUUAAGUUGGGCACUCUGGUGAGACUGCCGGUGACAAACCGGAGGAAGGUGGGGAUGACGUCAAAUCAUCAUGCCCCUUAUGACCUGGGCUACACACGUGCUACAAUGGAUGGUACAACGAGUUGCGAACUCGCGAGAGUAAGCUAAUCUCUUAAAGCCAUUCUCAGUUCGGAUUGUAGGCUGCAACUCGCCUACAUGAAGUCGGAAUCGCUAGUAAUCGCGGAUCAGCAUGCCGCGGUGAAUACGUUCCCGGGCCUUGUACACACCGCCCGUCACACCAUGAGAGUUUGUAACACCCAAAGUCGGUGGGGUAACCUUUUAGGAACCAGCCGCCUAAGGUGGGACAGAUGAUUAGGGUGAAGUCGUAACAAGACCCUCC
rnacentral:rRNA from 1 species